rnacentral:piRNA from 1 species
UAGAAACACAAAGUUUUUGCCAUGGGUAGU